rnacentral:rRNA from 1 species
GAUGAACGCUGACAGAAUGCUUAACACAUGCAAGUCUUUGGCGAAGCUGUGCUCGCACAGCCUAGCCAAGGCGGACGGGUGAGUAACGCGUAAGGAACUUGCCCUGCAGUCAGGGAUAACAGACGGAAACGACUGAUAAGACCUGGUAAAGUCAGGCGGACUCAUGUCCAGCCUGAUGAAAAGAGAUGCUGCAGGAGAGCCUUGCGUCCUAUUAGCUUGUUGGUGGGGUAACGGCCCACCAAGGCGAUGAUAGGUAGCCGGCCUGAGAGGGUGGACGGCCACAAGGGGACUGAGAUACGGCCCUUACUCCUACGGGAGGCAGCAGUGGGGAAUAGUGGACAAUGGGGGCAACCCUGAUCCAGCAAUUCUGUGUGCACGAUGAAGGUUUUCGGAGUGUAAAGUGCUUUCAGCAGGGAAGAAAAAAAUGACGGUACCUGCAGAAGAAGCGACGGCUAAAUACGUG